rnacentral:lncRNA from 1 species
AACCAGUGGAAAGUUACCUGGUUUUGUUUUCUCUGUUUGCAAAGCCCCAUUGAAGACUGUAUCUGAAUACAAACAUUAGGGAUUUCAGGCAUUCCAAGCUGAGCUUCAGCCUUGCAAGAUUCAAAUCUAUCUUAUCUUAAAAGAAUGCACCCUCUUCAUUUUUUAAAAAGGAUCAUUUUAAAGCUGCUGAGGGUUUUCCAAACAAAAGAAAAACUGUCUUGGCAAAACCGCAUCAAAUUUCAGAGACCAAAGAAGCUGAUGAAAGUGAUCCGGAUGCUCAAGGGUGAGGUCUGGGAGUGGGAGGGCUUUAUCCUGCUGUUUGAGAGAAUAUCUACGUUGGGGACUUGGAAAUCUGUUUCACUGUAAUGGUGGAAAACCAGCAGUAAUUCUGAAAAAAAUAUGGUUGCUGCAACCAGGAAAAGCAGAUUUCAAAGUACAAAGCAAGUCACCACAGGCAAUGCCAGUGAGGCAUUCCAGUGACACCAGAGCCCUUGAACAAAGCUGGAGCCCAGGUGACCUCCACAGGGCCCACUCCAGCAUUACUCCCUUUUUCAGGAUGAACAUUUGGGCUUUUACCCUGUGAAUGUGCCAGGCUCCACAAGGCCAAGGUCAGUCCCUCAGCCCUCCUGGAACACCCUGAUCUUUUCUAGGUACAAGUUUGCACGAUUCUAGGUACGAGUUUGCAGGAUGACCUCAGGUGGCUGGAGGGAAGAGAGCAGGAGCAGGACUAAAGAGAAAGGCAAUUCUUGGGGUCCAUUUCUUGAGACUGAUUCUUAGGAAAGAAAAAGAAAAAGCCACAGCAUAGUUUGCUUUCCUGUCCAUUUUCCCCUGAAAAGUAAUACUAUCCAUAACUAAGUGUAGGGCAAGAGGAGAAUUGACCUGCUAGUUAAGGCUGCCUCCUCUCCUCAGGGGAUCAUGAGCUUUGACCAGGAUAACCAGCUCGUUUUAGAGCACAUUAAGCACUAGACAGGGUAACAAACAGCUUCCUUUCAAAGCGUAAGAAAGCAAAAUGACAAAGUGGCCUGAGGUAGAAAAGCAAUGAUCAGAAACAUUAAAAAUAAUAGCAGCUGACAGAUGACAUUUAGGACCAGGGACCUCAUCCUCUGCUGGUUAUUAAUAUUCCUGCUCUCCUAUUAUCUUUUUGACGGGAAUGUAAACUCCGUUUGUCUUGGGAUAAACGCGAUACCAGAGCUGAGCAGAUAAGGAGGCGCUUAAUACGUAAUUGUUGGUGUAAACAAAUAAAUAGAUUGUAACGAUGUCAGAAAUGAUUAGUUCAGGUGGAGAGUGUGACUGGCUUCCAAAUAUUGGUCAAGAGCUCUAAGUAGGAUGAGCCAAGGAUACAGUUAAUGUAAUAGGUUCACACGAUCAGGUGACUUUUUUGGGUCUAGAAAUCUGAGGAGGUGACGAUGUACUGAACGGCAGUCUUCCUGCGAGGAAAGAGUUAAAAACACAUCCAGAUCAGGGUUUCUGAGGGACAAGGUGUUCAGCAGGGCUGAGGGCCUCCCUUUCUGCCGGCUGCUCCCCCAC